CAGAUAAGCGGUGCACCUUCGCUUCUUCCCUCCAGAGGGAGGGAGCAAUCCAAUAACUGGUUCCAAAUAUAAAACCCCUUGUGGGCCUACCUCUCUAAUGGUAUCAGUCUUACCUCUUCGUUCCUGAACCUGGGCUCACACUCAUCGACGGGGCACCCCGGUACUUACUACGUAAAGGCCGAUGAUCUCCUGGGCGAAGCAGCCCAGUGGCGCCGAGAUGAAGGGAUGUCCACGCUGAUGUUCAGGGGUGCUGCCGUAGAGAACGUUGGUAAAAAGUUUACCGUCUCAAAUCUCUGCGCCAGCUUCCGUGUGAUGAGGUUCCCGGACCCAAUGCACCAAAGAUGUAUCCGAGUAAACUUGCAGAAGCCAGACACAGAG